rnacentral:rRNA from 1 species
CCUACGGGAGGCAGCAGUGAGGAAUAUUGGUCAAUGGACGAGAGCCUGAACCAGCCAAGUAGCGUGAAGGAUGACUGCCCUAUGGGUUGUAAACUUCUUUUAUAUGGGAAUAAAAUGUUCUAUGUGUGGGAUUUUGUAUGUACCAUAUGAAUAAGGAUCGGCUAACUCCGUGCCAGCAGCCGCGGUAAUACGGAGGAUCCGAGCGUUAUCCGGAUUUAUUGGGUUUAAAGGGAGCGUAGGUGGAUUGUUAAGUCAGUUGUGAAAGUUUGCGGCUCAACCGUAAAAUUGCAGUUGAAACUGGCAGUCUUGAGUACAGUAGAGGUGGGCGGAAUUCGUGGUGUAGCGGUGAAAUGCUUAGAUAUCACGAAGAACUCCGAUUGCGAAGGCAGCUCACUGGACUGCAACUGACACUGAGGCUCGAAAGUGUGGGUAUCAAACAGGAUUAGAUACCCGAGUAGUC